UGGUGGAGUGAUUUGUCUGGUUAAUUCCGAUAACGAACGAGACCUUAAUCUGCUAAAUAGUUCCGUUCACUUUGGUGGACGCUGAACUUCUUAGAGAGACUGCGUACGUUUAGUACGCGGAAGUUUGAGGCAAUAACA
rnacentral:rRNA from 1 species